rnacentral:rRNA from 1 species
GACGAACGCUGGCGGCGUGCUUAACACAUGCAAGUCGAACGGUGAAGCGCCUUCCUUUUUGGUGGGUGUGGAUGAGUGGCGAACGGGUGAGUAACACGUGAGUAACCUGCCCCCUUCUUCUGGAUAACCGCAUGAAAGUGUGGCUAAUACGGGAUAUUCUGGGUCUGUCGCAUGAUGGGUCUGGGAAAGAUAUUGUUUCGGUGGGGGAUGGGCUCGCGGCCUAUCAGCUUGUUGGUGGGGUGAUGGCCUACCAAGGCGGUGACGGGUAGCCGGCCUGAGAGGGUGGACGGUCACACUGGGGCUGAGACACGGCCCAGACUCCUACGGGAGGCAGCAGUGGGGAAUAUUGCACAAUGGGCGCAAGCCUGAUGCAGCGACGCCGCGUGAGGGAUGGAGGCCUUCGGGUUGUGAACCUCUUUCGCCAGUGAAGCAGGCCUGCCUCGUUUGUGGGUGGGUUGACGGUAGCUGGAUAAGAAGCGCCAGCUAACUACGUG